UAGUCCACGCCGUAAACGAUGAUCACUAGAUAUUGGCUUCGGUCAGUGUCCAAGCGAAAGUGUUAAGUGAUCCACCUGGGGAGUACGCCGGCAACGGUGAAACUCAAAGGAAUUGACGGGGGCCCGCACAAGCGGUGGAGCAUGUGGUUUAAUUCGAUGAUACGCGAGGAACCUUACCAGGGCUUAAAUGCAGAACGACCGGUCUGGAAACAGACCUUUCUUCGGACGGACUGCAAGGUGCUGCAUGGUUGUCGUCAGCUCGUGUCGUGAGAUGUUGGGUUAAGUCCCGCAACGAGCGCAACCCUUGUCUUUAGUUGCCAUCAUUAAGUUGGGCACUUUAAAGAGACUGCCGGUGACAAACCGGAGGAAGGUAAGGAUGACGUCAAGUCAGCAUGCCCCUUAUGCUCUGGGCUACACACGUGCUACAAUGGCCGUGACAAAGAGUUGCUACUUUGUGAAAACAAGCUAAUCUCAUAAACGCGGCCUCAGUUCGGAUUGCAGGCUGAAACUCG
rnacentral:rRNA from 1 species